GCCACCGCCGAGCCAUGUUCCGAGGUGCCACAUCUACACGGAAUGACAUGCUGCAUCAGGAAUCAGAGAUGUCACGUCCAUGGAAAGCUGGUGUCACUGAUGAGCCCUUCUGAGACCUACAGCUCAGAGCUGGAGCCUAGGCAGGGUAGGAACAGGAAGCCAAUAUCUGUGCAUGCACCGGGAUUUACAGACACAAGCUGCUUUACAAGAAAAUCUGCAACAGAUAAGAAUUCUCCCUUGCUGUAAAAACACCCAAGCCUCAUUUUCAGUGACACUCUACAGGAAAUGAAGAUUAUAUUUGAUUUGUAGUAGCCCCAGAGGAACAGAAGUGUUUCUUUUGCAUUUACCAGCAUAUAAGAGCCCUCCAUUUCAAGAUACUACUUAUGGCAAUGAAGAAGCAAUAAGAAAAGCCUACAAAUAUUCUCCAGUAUAAGAGACAUUUUGCAUCUUUCUACCAAUAUCAGUCAUCCUUUCCUCUUACUGGAACAAAGUUCCCUUUUAAGAAGGAAGUCAGGACUGACCAAGCAGAUGUGUGUUAUUCCUGAAAGCAGAGCUUGGCUGAGAUGUGCAGGGGCUGCACUGCUGAGAAGAGGUCCCAAACUUCCCACAUCUUCUCAAGAAUGCACAUUUCUUGAGACAUGAGAUAAAUGUAGUAUAUUUCCCAUUACUAAUCCUGAAUAGUUUUCAGUAAUUUGUGGUCAUGUGUUUACUAAUUACUUUCAACAUCUGCAAUAUAUAUUUAAAACAAUGGCAUUUGUCCUGGCUGACGCUGCUCUUUACAAACUGACAUCUCAUCUGAUUUCCCAAGAAUUUCACGGGAAAGAGAUCUACCAGGAUCCUGGUGCACCACAAUCUGUGGAAGGAGGCUGACUCUGGAAGAGGACAAAAUUAAACUAUAGUUGUCCUGAAGGAAACAUGAUGUAGAAUGGACCAUUAGGCAUGAAACAAUGUGUAUUUCCUAUAGCUUCCCCCCAUCCUGCCUAUCCAAGCUUUAAUAUGUUAUGUUCUCAAGAUCUGUCCAUAGCAUUAAAGAGAGCUAUUUGAAGUGA